rnacentral:hammerhead_ribozyme from 1 species
AUCCAGCUGACGAGUUUCGAAUAGGCCGAAACACGCGUUCUGGAU